rnacentral:misc_RNA from 1 species
ACACUUUUAAAUCAGAGCCACAGAGAGAACAGUACAUUAGAACUCAGAUAGAAAAUAGCAUCCAUGAUGUCUGUUGAUACACUGGAUAACGUGAUGUCCAAGGAACACAAAACUUCGUUGAGAAAGAGCAAUAAGCCCAUCAUGGAAAAGAGAAGAAGAGCAAGAAUCAAUAAUUGUUUAACUCAGCUGAAAUCAUUGGUCUUGGAGUCAAUGCGAAAAGACAGUUCUCAGUACUCAAAGUUGGAGAAAGCUGACAUAUUGGAGAUGACUGUGAAACAUCUUCGCAAUCUCCAGAGGAACCAACUAGCAUCAGCAAUGGCGUCAGAUCCUACAGUUGUCACAAAGUUCCGAGCCGGAUUCCACGAGUGUGCUAAUGAAGUUAUUCGUUACCUAGGAACCGUGCAGAACGUCGGGUCCGAUGUGAAGUCACGUCUCGUGUCCCAUCUCUCCACGUGUCUCCAGACACAGAACAACACAGCGUCCACAGUCUUUGUCCCAGUCCCCCCAGUUACUGAACAUUGCUACCCCCGUGUCCUCAGACUCUAAUAGUAACUCUCCCAUCAAAUCCACUCCGAUAUCGGGACAAUUUCAAAUCAUUCCCAGCAAUCUGUACAAUGGUCCGGUGGCUGUGUAUGUGGGGCAGAUUAACCAGAGACAGUGUAUGACCACCCCAGACUCCAUGCCAGUGUUCACGUUACAAGUUCCCGCCAAUAACACCUCCCCGUCUUACCAAUGCAGGUCUCCUCAAGAAUUCCCUCAGCAACAGAAAUCCAAACCAUUAGCUCAGCAACAUAGAAGUGCCUUUGUUGAAUGUAAGCAAGGCGUUCCCGAGUCUCCUGAGAGUCUCUGGAGACCCUGGUGAUACCCUAAUGUUGACCAAAUUUUUCUCAGGACUUAUAGACAUACGCACUUUGUGAUAGAACACGCAUGCUUCCAGAAUAUUGUUUUGUACCAUUUGAUGGUGACUUAAAUCAGUGCUAAUCAUGUUUUUAUGAUGUUGUUAUUGAUUCGAUUUUUACUUGAAUCUUUUUAUAUGACCAUUAAAAUUUGUUAUGAAU